GCUCAGAUUGAACGCCGGCGGCAGGCCUAACACAUGCAGGUCGAGCGGUAGCACAGAGAGCUUGCUCUCGGGUGACGAGCGGCGACGGGUGAGUAAUGUCUGGGAAACUGCCUGAUGGAGGGGGAUAACUACUGGAAACGGUAGCUAAUACCGCAUAACGUCGCAAGACCAAAGUGGGGGACCUUCGGGCCUCAUGCCAUCAGAUGUGCCCAGAUGGGAUUAGCUAGUAGGUGGGGUAACGGCUCACCUAGGCGACGAUCCCUAGCUGGUCUGAGAGGAUGACCAGCCACACUGGAACUGAGACACGGUCCAGACUCCUACGGGAGGCAGCAGUGGGGAAUAUUGCACAAUGGGCGCAAGCCUGAUGCAGCCAUGCCGCGUGUGUGAAGAAGGCCUUCGGUUGUAAAGCACUUUCAGCGGGGAGGAAGGCGUCAAGGUUAAUAACCUUGGCGAUUGACGUUACCCGCAGAAGAAGCACCGGCUAACUCCGUGCCAGCAGCCCGGUAAUACGGAGGGUGCAAGCGUUAAAUCGACCGCCUGGGGAGUACGGCCGCAGGGUUAAAACUCAAAUGAAUUGACGGGGGCCCGCACAAGCGGUGGAGCAUGUGGUUUAAUUCGAUGCAACGCGAAGAACCUUACCUGGUCUUGACAUCCACAGAACUUUCCAGAGAUGGAUUGGUGCCUUCGGGAACUGUGAGACAGGUGCCGCAUGGCUGUCGUCAGCUCGUGUUGUGAAAUGUUGGGUUAAGUCCCGCAACGAGCGCAACCCUUAUCCUUUGUUGCCAGCGGUCCGGCCGGGAACUCAAAGGAGACUGCCAGUGAUAAACUGGAGGAAGGUGGGGAUGACGUCAAGUCAUCAUGGCCCUUACGACCAGGGCUACACACGUGCUACAAUGGCAUAUACAAAGAGAAGCGACCACGCGAGAGCAAGCGGACCUCAUAAAGUAUGUCGUAGUCCGGAUUGGAGUCUGCGACUCGACUCCAUGAAGUCGGAAUCGCUAGUAAUCGUAGAUCAGAAUGCUACGGUGAAUACGUUCCCGGGCCUUGUACACACCGCCCGUCACACCAUGGGAGUGGGUUGCAAAAGAAGUAGGUAGCUUAACCUUCGGGAGGGCGCUUACCACUUUGUGAUUCAUGACUGGGUGAAGUCGUAACAAGGUAACCGUAG
rnacentral:rRNA from 1 species